rfam:Leifsonia rubra CMS 76R Leifsonia_rubra_contig_5, whole genome shotgun sequence.
AACGUGCUCCGGGGUCGGUGAAAGUCCGAACCGGCGGUGAUAGUCCGCGACCCGCGACGAAGUGAAAACUUGGGAACGGUUGACCUGGUGAAAUUCCGGGACCGACGGUAAUGAGAUCGAAAGAUUUCUCAGUCCGGAUGAGAGGAAGCACGGC